GACGAACGCUGGCGGCGUGCUUAACACAUGCAAGUCGAACGGAAAGGCCCUGCUUUUGUGGGGUGCUCGAGUGGCGAACGGGUGAGUAACACGUGAGUAACCUGCCCUUGACUUUGGGAUAACUUCAGGAAACUGGGGCUAAUACCGGAUAGGAGCUCCUGCUGCAUGGUGGGGGUUGGAAAGUUUCGGCGGUUGGGGAUGGACUCGCGGCUUAUCAGCUUGUUGGUGGGGUAGUGGCUUACCAAGGCUUUGACGGGUAGCCGGCCUGAGAGGGUGACCGGCCCAAUGGGGAUGGGGAAAGGGCCCAGAUCCCAAGGGGGGGAAGGGGGGGGGAAAAUUGAAAAAGGGGGGGAAGCCGGAGGCAGAAACGCCGGGGGGGGGAGGAGGGCCUUGGGGUUGUAAACCGCUUUGGCCUGGGACGAAGGGGGGGGGAGGGGAAUGGGGAAAAAAGCACCGGCUAAAUAGGG
rnacentral:rRNA from 1 species